CCUACGGGGUGCAGCAGUGGGGAAUAUUGGGCAAUGGGCGCAAGCCUGACCCAGCAACGCCGCGUGAAGGAAGAAGGCUUUCGGGUUGUAAACUUCUUUUGUCAGGGACGAAGCAAGUGACGGUACCUGACGAAUAAGCCACGGCUAACUACGUGCCAGCAGUCGCGGCAAGACGUAGGUGGCAAGCGUUAUCCGGAUUUACUGGGUGUAAAGGGCGUGUAGGCGGGACUGGAAGUCAGAUGUGAAAACCACGGGCUCAACCUGUGGCCUGCAUUUGAAACUGUAGUUCUUGAGUACUGGAGAGGCAGACGGAAUGCGUGGUGUAGCGGUGAAAUGCGUAGAUAUUAGGAGGAACACCAGUGGCGAAGGCAGUCUGCUGGACAGCAACUGACGCUGAGGCGCGAAAGCGUGGGGAGCAAACAGGAUUAGAUACCCCAGUAGUC
rnacentral:rRNA from 1 species